rnacentral:tRNA from 1 species
GGCCCUGUCGUCCAAUCGGCAGGACGCCGGACUGAAAAUCCGGAGAUGGCCGUUCGAGACGGCCUGGGGCCACCA